CCUACGGGGGGCAGCAGUGGGGAAUAUUGGACAAUGGGCGAAAGCCUGAUCCAGCCAUGCCGCGUGUGUGAAGAAGGCCUUCGGGUUGUAAAGCACUUUCAGUGGGGAAGAAAGCCUUGGGGCUAAUACCCUCGAGGAAGGACAUCACCCACAGAAGAAGCACCGGCUAACUCCGUGCCAGCAGCCGCGGUAAUACGGAGGGUGCGAGCGUUAAUCGGAAUUACUGGGCGUAAAGCGCGCGUAGGCGGUCUGAUAAGCCGGUUGUGAAAGCCCCGGGCUCAACCUGGGAACGGCAUCCGGAACUGUCAGGCUAGAGUGCAGGAGAGGAAGGUAGAAUUCCCGGUGUAGCGGUGAAAUGCGUAGAGAGCGGGAGGAAUACCAGUGGCGAAGGCGGCCUUCUGGACUGACACUGACGCUGAGGUGCGAAAGCGUGGGUAGCAAACAGGAUUAGAUACCCGAGUAGUC
rnacentral:rRNA from 1 species